ACCCUUUCUUCACCCACCUAUGUUCUCCUGUUCUCUCUACCCUUAGUACGUACCCAUUGCGCCUCUGGAUUCGUGCAAAGCUUGCAUCUUUCCGUUAAAAGUCUUUCUCUCUUUCUCUCUCUCUCUGCACGAAGACCACAUUUUCACAUACACACAGCAGACACCGAGACAAACAUCCAACAGACAAUGCUAGCGAGACGAAACUGUGUCUCUGCGUGUCCGUAUGCGCGUGAUCCUCCUGCUUUCUUACUCUUUCUGCAACUUUCUUUAAACUCCACUUUCCGUAAUCUUCUCACAUACACACAGAGGGAGGGAGAGAGAAGGAACUGAAAGAUCGAAUUAAAUCCACAACUGCUUACUACGGCUACUAAUGUUACUGCAGAAGAAAGCUCUGAAACACUCUUCUCUUCUCUUCUCUUCUCUUUUUAAAAGAGGAGUCAUUAGGGUUGUUCAAACAAAUAACAAUGUCUCCUGCUGCGACUCGAACUGGAUCUCUUGCUGACUAUGGCGUCAUCGUCUCCUUCUUCCACCCUUAUGCUCUGCUGUUGCGGCUCUUUACAUGGAAGGGCUUCUGCAGCACCUCCCUAAAAGAUGUAUCUCUUUGCAACGAAGGUUCAGAGAUGAUGGUGACACUUUCUUUAAGGAUUAUGCAUUGUUCCAGCAUCAUAGAUGAAAGAAAUUUCUGUCCCUUUCAGUACUGUUUGGUAUAUAUGAACGGGUAACUCAUCAUGCUUGAAUUAGGGAAUGAAGCCAUUGGUCCGCGUAGCAGAUACAUUUUUGUACUAUAUUUGAAUUCCUGUAAUGGAUUCAGCUAUUUGAAAUUUUUUACAUCUUAAAUGCAGUGCUGCAUUUUCUUUGUUCUUUUCUCUGCCUAUUACAAGUAUUUGAUGUAUCUGUUACUAUUCUUAGAGGUCUCUGAUAUGAGUUCAUCUGUAGAGAAUUGUGCUUGUGCAAUUACCCAUCAAUAGGAAUUGAAUAUUUCCCUGAA